rnacentral:rRNA from 1 species
CCUACGGGUGGCUGCAGUGGGGAAUAUUGGACAAUGGGGGCAACCCUGAUCCAGCCAUGCCGCGUGUGUGAAGAAGGCCCUCGGGUUGUAAAGCACUUUCAGUGAGGAAGAACGCCUGGUGGUUAAUACCCAUCAGGAAAGACAUCACUCACAGAAGAAGCACCGGCUAACUCCGUGCCAGCAGCCGCGGUAAUACGGAGGGUGCGAGCGUUAAUCGGAAUUACUGGGCGUAAAGCGCGCGUAGGUGGCUUGAUAAGCCGGUUGUGAAAGCCCCGGGCUCAACCUGGGAACGGCAUCCGGAACUGUCAAGCUAGAGUGCAGGAGAGGGAGGUAGAAUUCCCGGUGUAGCGGUGAAAUGCGUAGAGAUCGGGAGGAAUACCAGUGGCGAAGGCGGCCUUCUGGACUGACACUGACACUGAGGUGCGAAAGCGUGGGUAGCAAACAGGAUUAGAUACCCGUGUAGUC